rnacentral:rRNA from 1 species
UACGUAGGGUGCGAGCGUUGUCCGGAAUUAUUGGGCGUAAAGAGCUCGUAGGCGGCUUGUCACGUCGGAUGUGAAAGCUCGGGGCUUAACCCCGAGUCUGCAUUCGAUACGGGCUAGCUAGAGUGUGGUAGGGGAAAUCGGAAUUCCUGGUGUAGCGGUGAAAUGCGCAGAUAUCAGGAGGAACACCGGUGGCGAAGGCGGAUCUCUGGGCCAUUACUGACGCUGAGGAGCGAAAGCGUGGGGAGCGAACAGG